rnacentral:RNase_P_RNA from 1 species
AGUCGGUUGGACAGUCGCGCACCCUCGGGUGUGAGGAAAGUCCGUGCUCCGCAGAGCAGAAUGCCGGAUAACGUCCGGUGGAGGCGACUCCAAGGAUAGUGCAACAGAAAUAAACCGCCUGCAUUUGCAGGUAAGGGUGGAAAGGCAGUGUAAGAGACUACCGGCUGUGUGGCAACAUGCAGCGCUCUGUAAACCCCAUUCGGAGCAAGGUGGGUAGGCAACAUGGGGCUGCUCGCCCCGCCUCAAAGCGCCGCUAGAGAUUAUCGGCAACGAUAAUACCAGAUAGAUGACUGUCGAAACAGAACACGGCUUAUAGACCGGCUUG